rnacentral:misc_RNA from 1 species
GGAAGAACGUAGCGAAAUGCGAUACGUAAUGUGAAUUGCAGAAUUCAGUGAAUCAUCGAGUCUUUGAACGCACAUUGCGCCCCCUGGUAUUCCGGGGGGCAUGCCUGUCCGAGCGUCAUUGCUGCCCUCAAGCACGGCUUGUGUGUUGGGCCUCCGUCCUCCUCCCGGGGGACGGGCCCGAAAGGCAGCGGCGGCACCGCGUCCGGUCCUCGAGCGUAUGGGGCUUCGUCACCCGCUCUUGUAGGCCCGGCCGGCGCUUGCCGACACAUCAAUCUUUUUUCCAGGUUGACCUCGGAUCAGGUAGGGAUACCCGCUGAACUUAAGCAUAUCAAUAAGCGGAGGA